rnacentral:lncRNA from 1 species
GCCGUGCCGGGAUUCUGCAGUUGUUACGAUCGCUCCGGGGCACCGCCACCACCAAAACCCCAAUUUAUUCACCUCUCUCCCACACCUUUCUCCUCCAUCCUUGGCUGGCUCCCCCUUCUCCCCUCCGUCGCAACCCGCCCGGGUGGCCGCGCGCGGUCGCGGUGAAACGUGGGCGCUGGUGUCCUCGAGGUGCCUUGGACCCCAAGGACCCGAGCCGCGCCGCAGCCGCAGCCGCAGCCGCCCCGUCGCCGUCACGACGACUCUUCCCCGCGCCCGCCACGCACGUGCCGCAGCCCCGCCUAUACAACCCCAGCCCGCCCGCUCCGGCGCUUCACUCACUCAGCCCGCGCCCAUCCCAUGCCCACUGCGGCGUCGUCGUCGCCUUUCGCGGNNNN